rnacentral:rRNA from 1 species
UGGGGAAUAUUGCACAAUGGGCGAAAGCCUGAUGCAGCAACGCCGCGUGAGCGAUGAAGGCCUUUGGGUCGUAAAGCUCUGUCCUUGGGGAAGAAACAAAUGACGGUACCCUUGGAGGAAGCCCCGGCUAACUACGUG